rnacentral:rRNA from 1 species
GACGAACGCUGGCGGCGUGCUUAACACAUGCAAGUCGAACGGAAAGGCCCUGCUUUUGUGGGGUGCUCGAGUGGCGAACGGGUGAGUAACACGUGAGUAACCUGCCCUUGACUUUGGGAUAACUUCAGGAAACUGGGGCUAAUACCGGAUAGGAGCUCCUGCUGCAUGGUGGGGGUUGGAAAGUUUCGGCGGUUGGGGAUAGACUCGCGGCUUAUCAGCUUGUUGGUGGGGUAGUGGCUUACCAAGGCUUUGACGGGUAGCCGGCCUGAGAGGGUGACCGGCCACAUUGGGACUGAGGUACGGCCCAGACUCCUACGGGAGGCAGCAGUGGGGAAUAUUGCACAAUGGGCGGAAGCCUGAUGCAGCAACGCCGCGUGCGGGAUGACGGCCUUCGGGUUGUAAACCGCUUUCGCCUGUGACGAAGCGUGAGUGACGGUAAUGGGUAAAGAAGCACCGGCUAACUACGUG